rnacentral:lncRNA from 1 species
GAGAAGAUAGUUGAGUCUUUGUUGUUCCAUAACGCAAGUGGGAAUAAGAUAGGUGUGAUCGCCUUGGUGGGUAUGGGCGGUAUUGGAAAGACCACCCUUACCCAGCUGGUCUAUAAUGAUAGGAGAGUGGUGGAAUAUUUUGAUCUUAAAGCAUGGGUUUGUGUUUCAGAUGAAUUUGAUCUUGUCAGGAUAACGAAAACCAUUCUUAUGGCAUUCGAUUCUGGGACUUCUGGAAAAUCGCCUGAUGACGAUGAUUUGAAUCUGCUUCAACUUAAAUUGAAGGAGAGACUUAGCAGGAAGAAAUUCUUACUUGUCCUUGACGAUGUUUGGAAUGAAGACUAUAAUAUUUGGGAUUUGCUGCGAACUCCAUUCAGUGUUGGUCUAAAUGGAAGUAAGAUUAUUGUAACCACACGAAUCAAGAAGGUUGCUGCAGUCAUGCAUUCAGCUCCUAUUCAUCCUUUAGGACAGUUAUCCUUUGAAGAUUGUUGGUCCCUAUUUGCAAAACAUGCAUUUGAAAAUGGAGAUUCUAGUUCACAUCCAAAGCUAGAAGAAAUUGGCAAGGAGAUUGUAAAAAAGUGUGAUGGAUUGCCUUUAGCUGCAAAAACCCUUGGAGGUGCCUUAUAUUCAGAGGUUCGAGUAAAAGAAUGGGAAAAUGUAUUGAACAGUGAAAUGUGGGAUUUACCAAAUAAUGCGAUUCUUCCUGCCUUAUUCUUGAGCUACUAUUAUCUUCCUUCACAUCUAAAACGAUGUUUUGCAUAUUGUUCUAUUUUUCCUCAAGACUACCAAUUUGACAAGGAAAACUUGAUUUUACUGUGGAUGGCAGAAGGGUUUUUGCAACAAUCAAAAAAAGGUAAGAAAACAAUGGAAGAGGUAGGUGAUGGGUACUUUUAUGACCUAUUAUCAAGGUCAUUUUUUCAAAAGUUUGGUAGCCACAAAUCAUAUUUUGUAAUGCAUGAUCUCAUUAGCGACUUGGCUCGAUUUGUUUCUGGAAAAGUUUGUGUUCAUUUGAAUGAUGAUAAGAUAAAUGAAAUUCCUGAAAAGCUUCGUCACUUAUCAAAUUUUAGAGGCGGAUAUGACUCCUUUGAGAGAUUUGACACCCUUAGUGAAGUUCAUUGUCUUCGGACCUUCUUGCCAUUGGAUUUGAGGACUCGGCAUCGGUUUGACAAGGUUUCAAAGUCAAGAAAUCCAGUUAAGAGUGGAAGGUAUGGUGGAGUGUUUUACUUGAGUAAUAGAGUUUGGAAUGAUUUAUUAUUGAAAGGUCAAUAUUUACGAGUGUUAUCGUUGUGUUAUUAUGAGAUAACGGAUUUGCCGGAUUCAAUUGGUAAUUUAACACAUUUACGCUAUUUGGACCUUACCUACACACCCAUCAAAAGAUUACCUGAAUCUGUUUGUAAUUUGUAUAAUUUACAGACAUUGAUAUUAUAUUAUUGUGAGCGUCUUGUUGGAUUGCCUGAAAUGAUGUGCAAAAUGAUUAGCUUACGUCAUCUUGAUAUCAGGCAUAGCAGAGUGAAAGAGAUGCCAAGUCAAAUGGGUCAAUUAAAAAUUUUAGAAAAAUUGAGUAACUAUAGAGUAGGCAAGCAAAGCGGGACGAGGGUUGGAGAGUUGAGGGAGCUUUCCCACAUUGGUGGGAGUCUUGUCAUUCAAGAGCUGCAGAAUGUGGUUGAUGCUAAGGAUGCCUCAGAGGCCAAUUUGGUAGGCAAGCAGCGUUUGGAUGAGUUAGAGCUGGAAUGGAAUCGUGAUAGUGAUGUUGAACAAAAUGGAGCAUACAUAGUCCUCAACAACUUACAACCUCAUUCAAAUUUAAGGAGACUCACUAUUCAUAGAUAUGGUGGUUCAAAAUUUCCAGACUGGUUAGGAGGUCCUUCAAUUCUGAAUAUGGUGUCGCUACGUCUCUGGAAUUGUAAGAAUGUGUCAACCUUCCCACCGCUUGGGCAGCUACCCUCCCUUAAACAUUUAUAUAUAUUGGGGUUGGGGGAGAUAGAAAGAGUGGGCGCUGAGUUUUAUGGGACUGAGCCCUCCUUUGUAUCCUUAAAAGCUCUAUCAUUUCAGGAUAUGCCAGUAUGGAAGGAAUGGUUGUGUUUGGGAGGCCAAGGUGGAGAAUUCCCUCGUCUCAAGGAGCUUUAUAUAAAGAAUUGUCCCAAGCUAACUGGGGACUUACCAAACCAUCUGCCUUUAUUGACGAAACUAGAGAUUGAAGAAUGUGAGCAGCUUGUGGCUCCACUUCCAAGGGUUCCAGCCAUCCGUGUAUUGACGACGCGCAGCUGUGACAUCUCACAGUGGAAGGAACUGCCACCACUAUUGCGGAGUCUCUCAAUUACAAAUUCCGACUCUGCGGAGUCUCUACUGGAGGAGGGAAUGUUGCAAAGCAACGCUUGUCUUGAAGAUUUGAGCAUCAUAAACUGUUCUUUUUCCAGACCCCUGUGCAGAAUUUGUUUACCCAUUGAAUUGAAAUCAUUGGCCAUCUAUGAGUGUAAGAAACUAGAGUUUCUCCUACCUGAGUUCUUCAAAUGUCACCACCCUUCCAUUAAACAUUUGGAAAUCUUAGGUGGCACUUGCAAUUCUCUCUCAUUCAAUAUCCCACACGGCAAGUUCCCAAGGUUGGCUAGGAUUCAAAUCUGGGGUCUCGAGGGGCUUGAAUCCCUCUCCAUUUCAAUUUCGGGCGGGGAUCUUACAACUUUUGCUUCGUUGAACAUCGGAAGGUGCCCUAAUCUUGUGUCUAUUGAAUUGCCAGCUCUCAACAUCUCACGAUAUUCAAUCUUCAAUUGCGAGAAUCUCAAGUCGCUGCUGCACAACGCUGCAUGCUUUCAAUCAUUAGUGUUAGAAGAUUGUCCGGAAUUGAUAUUCCCAAUACAGGGUCUUCCCUCCAACCUAACUUCACUAUUUAUUAGAAACUGCGACAAACUCACAUCCCAGGUGGAGUGGGGUCUGCAAGGACUGCCCUCUCUUACCUCUCUCACAAUCUCAGGUCUUCCAAAUCUCAUGUCCCUGGACGGUAUGGGGCUUCAACUGCUCACCUCUCUUCGAAAAUUACAGAUCUGUGACGGCCCCAAGCUCCAAUCUUUGACAGAAGAGCGGCUACCCAGCUCCCUUUCUUUUCUAACAAUCCGCGACUGUCCAUUGCUGAAAGAUCGGUGCAAGUUUUGGACAGGGGAAGAUUGGCAUCUUAUAGCUCACAUUCCACACAUUGUGAUCGAUGACCAAGUUUUGUAAUGAAGGUGGUAUUACACCAAUUUAUAGUCAGUUACUUAUUCUGUCCUCAAAGUAAUUUUCUCAGGAAAACUGACAUGUUAAAUACCAAUUUAAUUUCACCAGCUAUUAGGUUAUAAUAUUCUUAUUUCUAAACUAAAUAGAGGGUAUGAAUAGGAAAAAUAUGCUUUAAAUUUUCUAAUGAUUAUAAUAAUUUCUUGUUUUCUUUCAGGUUAUCCAUAAUUCUUCACUCUGCCACUGAUGCAACAUAUCUUCAUCAGGAAUCUUUUCAGACUCCUUUGCUUAAUUAGCGCCUUGCCGAAUGCUUUAGAUUUCAUCUAGAGUAAAUUGAUGAUUAAAAGCCAAGAAACUCUGCAGGUCUGAUUUAGUAACUUGUGUUUCUUGUAUAAUAUCAUGGACCUUGAGUUCAUUUCCAUUGGCUAAUUCACUGAAAUCUCAUGGCAGGCCUUUAGUUCUAGUUUUCUCAAAAAACUGGAGCUGUCUAGCAAUGAUUUUUCCAAUGGGACCACUUUUUGUUGAGUUCAGAGUAAAGACUCUCUUUCUAGAAGUAGCCGAGAUUUUUUGCAUCCAAACUACAGAAAGCUCGAUUCUGUUGAGAGUGGGGUAUGCUCUAUAAUUCCAAUUAAUAAUCCUUUAGGCAUUAUUUUUUAGGUUCUCUGAGGCUGCAUCUGUUGUAAUAUCUCAGUUCUUCUCUAAAGGCAACAACUAUGUUUCUUUUGGUUCGUACUUUCCAUAAACUGACACCUUGUGGAGUUCCAUCAUUUUCAAAACAAGAUAAACCUAAUACUAAAUUCUACUGAAGCUAAAACAAAAAUCUUACUGCCUGAGGUUAUAUCUUUUGAUGAAUUUUAUUCACUAUGUUCAUAUGGCAUCCGAGUGACCUGGAUGUCAACAUUUUCCUUGGUGCACAUGUUGUUUUCAUCUCUUUUAGCUUUAAUUAAUCUGCAGAUGUUCGGUUUAGGCACCUCACCUCCUAGUCACGCUCAUCUGAUUCUCAUUUACAUGAUUGUAAACUAAUAGUAAAUGAUAAUAUGAGCUCUGAUUUUCAUUUUUUAAAUUUGUAAUUCUGAAGCAGAUACUUGGAGAAGAGAGAAGGCAAACCAUAUUCAAUGUCAUAGCACUGCAGAGUAUGGUUUUGUUCCUCCCAAGUUCAGGUCAGUUGAGUUGAAUCUUAUUAAUACUUGAAGGAUGCAUGAUCAAAUAGUGUCAUAGCACUAUUUGUUAUAUUGGCUUUGUGCUAAGAAAUUGUGAACUAAUUGGAUCUACUCAUACCACCUCCCUCCAUAGAGGAAUUUUAAUAACUAAAUUCUAUUGAUUUGAGCAUGAUUUGAGCUUUUGUUCUCUCCUCAGUUUAUAGUUCAUAGUUUUGCAAUAAAAUUUUUAAAAGUCUAAAAAUUAUCUAUAACCCCACAUGAAUUUCACUGUCAAAUUCUUCUGAGUAACAUGUGACUAUUUUUAUUUUCAGAUGGUGGCAUUUUGAAUCUUUGGAGCAGUUCCCGGAGGAAGCUUUGCCAAAGCCUCCCUAUGCAAUAUAUGGGCCUUUGGUUGCAAGUGAGAUUUGAGGAUUUUAUUUUAUCUUGGAAGACUUCAACUCAUUUUUGUGAGUUUUGUGCUUUGAGUUUUACUUCCAAGUAUGUGCAAAGAAGAAAGGAACGACAAAGAUGGAUUCACUGGAGUUUUAUAUGGAGUAAGACUCCCAUGAAAAAUAUUGUAGCAAUUGGUUUGUCAGCCUUGAAGGUUGUAGUUUUAUUUCCCAUUUUGUUCUUUGAGGAAUGUGUUUGUUGAAUCAUAUAUUUUGAACUUACUGAUUUUGUGUAUAUUCAUUUACAUGUAAAUGAUAUUUUAAUCUUCAUUCAUAUAGAAUUUGCUUCUGUUUUAUAUGCUGAAAGGUUACAAGUUUGCUCUAGGGUUUCACUUCAAAGCCGCUAGAUGAACAAUACAAGGUCAAAUAUUACUUCCAUUGGAAUUUCCAUAUUGUCCUGAUUCAUCAUGUAUCCAGCUAUAGGAAUAAUUCAAGUGAGGUUAGAUAUGCCCUUUUUCUAAGUUUUUAUAUCAUAUAUUUGAAUGAAAUUCAAUUUAUCUAGAUGCUUUUCACAAGGGUUCCUUGACAUUUCAGCAUUUGGAUGGGAAGACUUGGAAUCAUUCCCAAAGGAAUGCUUGAUGCCCUGCACCCUUACCUCUCACCAAAUCUCAGGUCUUAACUGCUCACCUCUAUUUAAAAAAUUACAGAUCUCUGACUGCACAACUCCCUCUCUUUUCUAACAAUCAGGAACUGUCCAUUGCUGAAGCAUUGGUGCCAAUUUUGACAAAGGGAAGAUCAGCAUCAUAUAGCUCAUAUUCCACACAUUGUGGUGGACAACCAAGUUCUGUAAUGAAGGUGCUUGCUCUGUCCUGUAAAAAAUUUUCUUAAGGAAAAAAAAAAAAAGUUAUGCUUAAAUACCAAUUUUUAUUUUCUUUCUGAUUUGUACAUCCUUAAUCACUCUGGUUUUGCUUCCACAUAUCCUCAUAUCUAAUCUUCUAAAUUUCCCUUGCUCAGUUGGUGCCUAUGUUGAAUCUUUCACGCAUCUGCCUAUGAUCAAUUGAUGUUUAUAAAGCUGGUGCACCAAGCAGCUCUCUGUGUAUGAUUUCUUGACCUGUAUUUUUUUUUUCUUUUGUAUUUUUUGUUGUCACUUCCAAGGGUUGGGACUUUGUCUGGAAAUAGGUACCAGAGACACUUUCUUGGUACUUGGCAGUUGAAGGGAUCAACACUAAUGUGUGGCCAAUUAAAUCCUUUUUACCACCUUUUGCAUCCAAAGGCACAUAAGAUCUUGGCACUCUGCUCAAGGGUCCGCAAAAGUAUAAUUUAGAUUAAAUUCAUAUUAAGACAGGUACAUGCUGUAUGCUCAAAAUGAUUUUCUUUCAAAAAUGUUCAGUUACCAAUUCAUUGAGGAGCCAAAGUUGUACUUCAAAAUUUCUAAUUAUUUAAUUUUUAAAUUUCUGAGGUUAAUAUUGGACACUUCCUGUAAGACUGGAAGCAGCUUUCCAGGUAUAAGAAGAGACUUGUCUUCUUGAUAUAUAUUUAUGAGCCUCAAUCUUUUCUGUGGGCUGAUCUAUUGAUAUUCAUUGCAGGCUUUCAAUUAUGAUUUUCUCUCUAAAUACAAGACAUUUGGCCAUGAUCUCCCCAGUGAAACAAUAUUUGAUGACUCUCCCCUGUGGAACACAUAUUUGUAACUAUUCUAAGAUCUUUGAAUUAUGUUCAACUAUAUUCAAGAAUCAUACAUCUACAAAAGUUAUUUGCUGGCCUUGUUAUUGGAGAUUGAAGUGUGCAGGACACUCUGUUUGUCUGAUAUAGAGUUUUUUUUUUUUAAAGCCAGUAGUCUCGAGCAAGGAUAUGAAGAGGAGUAAACGGAGAUUGACGACAGGUAACAUAUUCUUUAUGCACACUUAUUCAAUAAGAAUUGUAAUUUCACAUCUACGUAUUGUAAGAUUUAUAACUUCAUAAGCAUUAUAUGCUGAAUCUAACGCAAGUAUCCUAAGCUUUCAGCUCUGAGUUUCUCAACAUUACUUGAGGCUUUUGAUAACUAUCUAACCAUUUCAGCUCUCUUAAUGAAUCGUUCAUAAAAUGCCUUCUUCCUUUGAUUUUAGAUUUUUUACUUGAGUCCAGAGGGGUAUAAUUUUACCUGCUGAUGUCCUUACAAUGCUUUAAAAUAGAGAUUUAAUUUUCUAACCCCUAAAUUGCAACUAUUUUGAUCAUGUAAUACAUCGGUUUGCAGGUCAUAUGAAAAUCAGUAUCUGCAACAAUAACUUAUUUUUUCCAAAAACCAAUGGGUAUGUAUUACUUGAAGCAUCACUUGCCAAUACUUCUAAUCAAAUAUGUUUGAAAUUUUAUCCACACAAUCAUGAAUUCUUGGACUGACUAUUUAUUGUUAUGUAACAUAUUUUGAAUAAUGUGGAUACUCAAACUAAAAUCUUCAUAUUCUGAUUUGCUUAUGCUCAUCUUAUUCUCCUUUACAUUGUCUUCAUCAACAUCAGGACUUUAAUAUUCCAGCUUUCUUGUACUAUCAAAUGAUUAAUAUGUUCAGAAUCUUUUGUUGAUUCAAUUUGUGAUUCUGGGCCAGAGACUUUUAGAAGAGAGAAGGCGAAGCAUAUUCAAAGUGACAGCACUGCAGAUUGGCUUUGUCCGCCCAAGUUCAGGUCAAUAGAGUGACAUCUUAUUGAUACUAGUGUUGAUUUUCCAAACUUGAUAUAUUAGCAUCAACAGCUUCUGCAAUACCUUAAGGAAUUGUGAAUUAAUUGGAUCAACUCAUACCACCACCCACCAUAUAUAAAUUUUAACAACUACAAAUAUUUAGAGGAUGGUAGCAUAUUUUAAUGGUUUUGGUCCUAAAAGAAAAUAUAGGUUGAAUAUGUUCUAAAUUUAAUUUAAAGUUAGAUGGUUUAACUAUCAAAUUCCGUCGAUUAUCAUGUGGCAAAUUUUAUCUUCAGAUUACCACUUUGGAUCUUUGGAGCAGUUCCAGAAGGAAGAUUUGUCAUUGCCUGCCUUAAGUUGCAUUCUAAAAGGUCCAUGUGGAGUGAGCUUUUAGUCCCAAGUAUGCGACAAGCAAGAUAUAACAUGGAGGGACUUGCAGAUCUGAUUUUAAAGCAUGAAGAUGCAUAGUUGUUUCUUUGAAAAUAAGAAAACAAUGCCAAAAUCUUGAUUAAGUUUUAUGUGGAGUGGGACUAUUAAUUUGACCUUUAAGAUUUCAGUCUAGUAUCUUAUCUUGUUCUUUGAGAAAUCAAUGUGCUAUUGUCUUGAAGCAGUUGUUUUGAAUUCCCUUGUUGAACUUGUAUUUUGACUUGGAAUGAUGUCUUUGUAUUGAGUUUUUCAUCCAUCUUGAAUUUUCUUCUUUGCUAGAUGCAGAAAAGUAACAAGUUUGGUCAAAUAUUACUUCAAAUGGAAUUUUCAUGUUAUGCUAGUUCAUCAAAGAUCAUAUGCUAUUUUUCCGUUAUUUAUAUUCGGAUCGAUUAUUGAACCGGAAAAGUGAUAGAUUUGUAGUUCGAUGGUCGGAUCAGUGGUUGAACUACAGUUGACUUGUGAAAUCAUAAAUAUAUGAUUUAUGUAUUAUUAAAAUUAAAAAUAAUUAUUAAAAAAAAUAAAAAAUGAUAAAUUCUAUUGAAAUUUUUGACAACAUUCUUGUCUUUGUCGAGUUAUUUCAUGGAAGUUUUUACCCAUAAAAUCUUCUUAUGUUCUAUUUCAUAGCACAAUAUAUGAUGUUAUACCUUCAUCGAUAUAAAUCAACAUAUUGACCAAAAUAUUUAUAUAUGACAUCUACAUAUAAGUAUUAAUGAUCAAUUUCUCAAUAAGUUUUUAACAUAUCAUCCGUGAUAUAAUCGCCCAUCACAACAUAAAUAGUUGCUUAAAAUAUAACAUGUCACUGUUUAAUUGAUUCAUAAGCAAUUAUUUGCAUCAAUUUUAAACUUUAUUUUUAGUUUUAACUUCAAUUUCAAUUUAAAACUUUUUCUUUAAUUUUGAUUUUAAUUCUAAUCUAUGUCUUAAUUUUAAUUCCCAUUAUAAUAUUAAUAUUAAUAUUAAUUUUUUGUUUUCAUAAUAAUAAUAAUAAUAAUAAUAAGUUUAAUUUUGUGUUUAAUAAUAAUAAUAAUAAUAAUGGGUCCUAUUUUUUUUUAAGUAUAUUUGAUAAUAUAAAUUUUAAACCACUUAAAAUUAAAAGCACUUAAAAUCCACUUAUUUCAUUUAGCAAUAGAGAUCUAACUAAUUAUUUAUAACACAACAUGUUCGAUGACUUUUAAAUUUUUAUAACUUUUUUAUUCCAUCCUAACCAUUUUUUUUAUAAAAUAAUGAUUUUUAUUAUUGAAUUAUUUUUAUUAUAAAAUUUCACUUCCUCUAAAUUAAAACGCUUUCUUUUGAAUUAAAAUAUUUCAUUACUAAUUCCUUAAUACAAUAAAAUUAAUUUCUAAAAAAAUUAUUUUAUACAAGUUCUUUUAAAAUAGAAUAUUUUGUUUUUAUUGAUUUUUAAUAAUUUAAUACAAUAAAUUAGAAUUCUAAACAACCUCUAUUUAAUCAAUUUAUAAGAAUUACUCUCUCACGUCUUUUAUUUUAAGUUUUCCUAUCAAUAUGUAUAUAUCAUAAUAAUUUAUUUAUUUAUUUUUAAUUCCUUAAUAUGAUAAAAUUAAAAUUAUAAUAAAUUCUAUUUAAUUGAUUUAUAAGAAUAACAAUUAUAAAAAAUUUCUUGGUUUGUAUAAUUAUAGAGAAAAGAAAAAAAGAAAAAGAAACAAUUUAAAAGGUAGAAUGUAUGAACUUUUUAUGUGUUGUAAAAUAAAAGAAUAAUGAUAAGAAAAUACGAGAGAAUAAACAAAGACAUUCAAAGAAAAGUAGAAUAGAAUGUAGGAAAAGAACGAGAUGAAUUUUCAUUAGAGGUAUCUCCCUUUUAUAGGGAGUUACAAACGGAUAUAUAUCAAUAUGGAUGAUCAUUCAGAAAUUUUCAUAAUCCGAUAAAUUCUUAUAUUUUAUAACACUCCCCCUUGAAUGAUUAUAAGAAUAUGCCUUAUCAAAACCUUAUUGGGAAAAACCCUAGUGAAGGAAAAAAAAGUACAAUAUUCUUUUGGAUUACUACGACUGCCUCAUUAAAAACCUUACCAGUAAAACCCAAUGAGACAAAACCUGGACGAAGGAAAAAAGAGUGUAGCGUAGUGAUAUUCUUAUCAAUUAGCUCUCCCUCAUGUUGACAUGAUUAUGUUUUCUUUAGUAGUACAACAUGGAGAUCUUUGAGUCGGUGUAUUCCAAUGAGCUUCUUGAGUAUUGCAGUUGACAAUACCUUUGUGAAUAGAUCUACUAAAUUGUCACUUGAUCUUAUUCAUCGAAUAACAAUUUCAUCACUCUUCUGGAGUUAAUGAAAGUAAAAGGCUUGAGCAAUAUAUGCUUAAUUCUAUCACCCUUGAUGUAUCAUACUUUAAUAAGUGCAAUACAUGUAACAUUAUUAACUUGGUAGCAUUACCUCUAAUGGAUGGUAGUCCACAUUUUUCCAUUAUUUGCUUGAUUGAUCUCCACAAUAUUGUCGUACCACCAUAGAUAAAUACAUAUUUCAUUUGAGAUCGAGCAUUGUGGGGGUUUGAAAGAUAGUCAACAUCUACCUUGAAGAUAACAUAAACCCAUAUUAUUGUAUUACAUGAUUGAUUUUAUUCCAAUGUCUUUAAGGUGGUGUAGAACUAUAUUUCACAAGUAAAUUAACAAGGAAUGCAAUAUCUGGUUGUGUAUAAUUUGCAAGAUUCAUCGGUACACCAAUAACAUUGUAAUAUGGUACUUCUAGACCAAGUAGUUCUUCAUUAUCUUCUUUAGGACAUAAGAGCUUAUUUUUCACUUCAAGUGAAUGAACUAUCAUCAGAGAACUUAAUGAAUGUGAUUUAUCCAUAUGAAGGUGCUUCAAGACUUUCUUUGUAUAUGUUGACUAAUAAACUAAUAUUUCGUUUGAAAAGUACUUGAUCUAUAAGCUGAGGAAAAAUUUUUGUUGUCCAGGAUCUUUUAUUUCAAAUUUACUUUUCAAAUAGUCAACUAUUUUGGUAAGCUCUUUAAGAGUUCCAACAAAAUUCAAUGUUCCACAUAUACUAUAAUAAUUGUAAAUAUUCCACAUAAUGAAUAUGCAUAGACAAAUAAGAUAACACAUACAUACUUUUCACUUCAAAUAUUCAUUGAAGUGAUCAUACCACAAUUCUUUGGAUUGCUUAAUCGAUACAAGGAUCUUUGUAGCUUAAUUGAGUAUAUGUUACAAUGUUUGAAUUAAUUGCUUUAGGCAUUUGAAAUCCUUCAGGGUAUAUAUAUAUAUAUCUAAAGAUCCAUGUAAAUAUGCAGUAACGACAUCCAUGAGACACAAAUCCAGUCAUUCUAAGAUUGUUAAACAAAUUAGAUAUCUAAAUAUGGUUGCGUCCAUCAUAGGAGAAUAUGUUUUCUCGUAGUCAAUACUAGGUUUCUGUGAGAAACCUUGAGCUAUGAGUCAUGUUUCAUAUCUUGUGAUUUCAUUUUUCUCAUUACACUUUCUUAUAAAGUUUCAUUUAUAUCCAACAAGUUUGACAACUUCAGGAGUUUGGACUACAGAUCCAAAUACUUCAUGUUUUUCUAAUGAGUCUAAUUUUUUCGAGAUGUAUUCUUUCCAUUUUGGCCAAUCUUUUCUAUGUUGACAUUCAUUCAUAGUUUCUACUUUGGGAUCCUCAUCAUUUCUUAUGAUGUCAAUAGCUAUUUGGAAAGAAAAUAUAUUGUCAAUGACAAAAGUAUUUCAAUCCCAUUUUUCUCUAUAUAUAAGUAAAUAAUUGAGACUUCAUCAAUAUCAGGUACUUGUACUUUUUCAAGAGCUAAUUGUAAAACAUAUGUCUUUCAUAGGGUUACUCGUUUAAAUUAUGCCUCUUCAGGGGUUGCUUGAGACCGAUAAGUCAUUUUAAUAACUCAUUUUAUAUGCAACUUCUUUAAGAGUGCCACAUUUCAUAUAUCUUUCCUUGUGUUUUCCUCUUCUAGGGAAUGUGUUUGUCUCUUUAGGGUCUGCCAUGUUUCAAGCAUGCCUUAGACUCAUUAUUUAAUUGUCCUUCAGGGACAUCAACUCAUUAUUUAAUCGUCAUUUAGGGACAUCACCGCAUUAUUUAAUUGUCCUUCAAGGACAUCAAUUCGUACUGUAAUAUUCUAGGUUAGUAAAAAUGAUUUUGUCACUUUCUUUGCAUCAAUGAAAACAUUUGGUAGUUGAUUUGAAAUUUUUUACAAAUAAAUAAUCUUUUAAACUUCUAGUUCACAUUGAUUAGUACGCUAAUCAAGAUAAGUCAAAGUCAAUGCAUUCCAAAUAAUUUCAUAUCAUUCUUUUGGAACAGGCUCUUCUCCUCCCAAUGAUGAGAAAAUUGUCUCAUUAAAAUGAUAAUAUACAAAACAUGUCAUUCUACCUUUUAAGUGUAUAGGUAAACUAGUCACUAAAUAAAAACUUCUGGUUUUAUAAUGUACAUCCAUAUGACCUUUUACCUUAGGGGACCAAGUUAGUCUUACUAGAUUCUUCUGCAUUUAACAUCGUAUAAAUCAAAUACUAUUAGUGACAUAAUAUAAGCUCUUUUGGAGCCUUUAAUUAGGUUUCUAUCACCUGAUAUAGUAUUAACAUUGUCUGUCAUCAAUGUUGUGUAAUUAAUAACACAAGAGUUUCAUCAAAAUAACAACUCAUAAAGACCUUGCCUUUAUAGAGUUGAAGAAAUAUUAUCAUAGAGAAAGAGUUAAAUCAAUGAAAAAUAUUAGUCAUCGAUGAUAACUUAACUUAAUAAGUUGUGUAAAAGCAAUGAGAGCAUAUAUAACACAAUAAAACAAAUAUGAAAAAGAUAAUUUAAAGUUAUAUAUUUCUUAAAUAUCUAAACCAUUUUAUUUUGUAAGUGUGAAACAAUUUAUACAUGAAAUAACUAGGAAGUAUUUCAAUAAUCAAACUAAUUGUAGUGAUAGAUCAAUAAUUUUGUUCAAAAUAUUAUUAUGAUGUAAAUCAAUGUGCAAAAAUUAUUUUAUAAAUAAAAAUUUCAAGAGAACAUAUCAUGAUUUAAAACAUCUUGUUGUCUCAAAACUUUAAUUGAAAUACUAUAAAUCCAUCUAAACAUAUAUGUAAAUAUAUAACAUAAUAUAUUGAGAACAAUAGUUGAAUCUAUUUUAAUUUCAAAAUUAAUUUUGGAUAAUGAAAUUAUUGCAUUAAUAAAAAAAGCAUAUGUGGCAACAUGUAAUAAUAUAUUAUUUUAUAUAACUCAAAAAUUUUCAAUCAUAAAAACAUGUUAUAAAGAAAAUUGACAAGUAAAAUCAAUUUAUUAAUCCUAUGACCAAGUCAUAUAUUUCAUAUGUAUCCAAAAAAUCUUAAUUUGUUAAAUCAAAAGAUUAUUGUGUAUUAAACAAUUAGAAUAACAAAAAUAUUUCAAACUAUCAUCUCUAAUACAAAAAUAUCAUACUUUCAUGCAAUCCAAAAUUCCACAUCUAUAUGUAAAUUUUUCUACUAAUAACAAUAUAACUUCUAAUAAUAGAAAUUUAUAAAAACUAUCAAACACUUACCUAUUUGUAUAACUUGAUGUACAAAAUAUUAAUCUUUUGAUAAUAUGUAAAUAUUAUCUAUAUGCUUGUUAUCAUAGCUUCAGACCAUAACAUAUUUCAUUAUAACUUUAGGUUAUAUACAUUUCAUAAAGUUGUACAAAAUUAUUAGUUAACAAUUUUGUUCUCUAUAGCUUCUAACUAUAAGAAAGUACAUAUUAACAACUUUGGCAUAACCUUUGAUUAGCACAAAGAAUAUUAAUUUUCUUAUUUUCAUAACUUCGGACUAUGCAUGAAUAAUAAUAUUUAUAUAACUUAUGGUUAUAUAAUAUAAAUUUAUAAUAAAAAAAAAAAUAUUUUUUCAUAUAGCUUUUGGCCAUACAAGUUUUAACAAUUAUUAAUUUACUAACUUUUUCUUCAUAGCUUUAGGUUAUGAAUAAUUAAAAUUUAAGUAAUAUUAUAAUAACAUUAAACAAUUGAGAAUUGACAAUUAUGUUAUGAUAUAACCUCUGGUUAUAUCAUAAGAAAGUACAUCAAUGUCCUAAUUAAGUUUUAUACUAGAGUGGGACUCCUAUGAAUGAUUAAAUUGCAUAGAAUUCAAUUUAUUUAUGUCUAUCAAUCUUUGUUUAAUUUCUAUAGAAAAUAUUAAUAGAAGGAACUAUUUCAUAUUUUAGUAUAAUUUAAGCUUGAUUGAUACUACUUCUUAAAAAUGUUAAAAGGAUUAAAUUGAGAUAUGAAUUACAGUACCUAUUGAUUUUUUAUAAUUUAUAAAAAAAAUUAAGAUAGCAAAGGAAAAUGAGGAGAAAGAGAAUUAGUACUAGGGUUUUAAAUGAGUGUGGUGAUGAAGAUGAUGGGAUAAGCCCUUCAUCCAACCUUUGAGGGCUAGCAGAAGUUCUUUAAGCCCUUUUAUGGGUGUUGUUUUUUUUUUUUUGAAAUCUAAAUAGUAAGUUAAUCAUUUAAAGCCAAGUCAUAAGUCUACUAUGAGUGAAUUGAAUUUCCCUCAUUAAACUUUCUUUGUAUUUGAGGUUGAUAUUGUAUGGUUAUGAUAAUUUUGUUUUUUUGACAUGCAAUAGAGUUUGCUCCUCCUUUGUAUUGACAAGCUGCUCAAUUUGCAUUUUUAUUUUAUUUGCCAAUAACAGCUUAAAGCUUGUGGAAAAUUAGGUUGACAACAUAUCAAGUUGGGUUACAUUGGAAUGAGGCUUUUGGAUUUUAUUAUUUAAUAAUCUCGUAUGUGUGCACUAAGAGCCAGUCUGAUGGUUAUACUUUUUAAAUAAAAAAAUAAAAAUUCAAGUAUUGAAAAGGCUAAAACCACUUUUUAAAAUCAUUUUCAAAUACAUUAUUAAGUUUAAUAAUAUCAGUAUAACUCAUAGCAUAUUUAGAUGAAUAUGUGAUAAUUAGAACCCUUUUAAUAUUUGAAAGUAUUUAUUUCCCAUAAAAAUUAGCUAUUUUGUAAAUAAAUUAAUAAUUGUUUUAAAAAUCUAAAAAAAUCAUUUAAGUAAUUUUUAAACUAGUAACUAAGAGAUGCUUCUUUUAAUUAUUUUUAUUAUGUAAUAUAUCACCAAAAAUACUAUCAAGUCACCUUUUGGGUUUAUAUCUAGACCUUAAUUUGACUAAAUGGAAAUAGAUCUUAAUAUUAUUAAAUAUCAAUUUGUUUUUAAUAUUGAAGUGUUAAUUUUUUUUUCUCAGUGAUGUGUUACUAUUUCUAUGAGUUAAAUGAAGAAUCUUUAUCCUUAAAAAAUAAUUUAUUUUAUUUUACUUAUUUUAAAUAAUUUUCAUAAAGAUGUUUCGAAACUAAUAAUUUAAAAAAUAUUAAUUUGAUAUAUUUAGGAACAACCUUAAAUAUUAAAAAAAAAUUAUAAUAUGAUUUUAUCUCAUUCAAAUAAGAUAUUUGAAACUUAAUAAUUUGAUAAAAAGAUAGUACUUUAAUAUAGCUUUUAAUAUCCUAAAGUACCAAAACUGAUUGCAAUAACCAAAACUUUAGGGAAAAGUGAGUUCUAAUUUACUAAUUUAAAAAAAUAUAAACAAAAAUAUUCUAACUUUUAUAAAUCAAUUUUAUCUUCACUCAUCUAAAAAUAUUUUAAAAUAAAUGCAAUUUUUUAUAACUGAAAAAAAAUUAAACUUUUUAUUUUUAUUUUUAUUUUUAUUUUUUUAUUUCUUUUAACCCUGAGAACUGAUUUGAGAUUAAUAAAAUAAGAAAUUUUAAAAAUUAAAAAUACAAUUAAAACUAAAAGAACUUUAAAUCUAAAAAUAUAAAAGUAAAAUAUUAACUUUUACUUAGUUAAAACAAUAUGGUAGAAAAUAUAGAUAUCGAGAAAGUGUUGAAAAUACAAUAGGAGUAAAUAUUUAAUUUUUUAUUUUAAAGUUUUUUUAAUUGUAUUUAAUUUUUAUGUAUUUUAGUUUUAAUUGUAAUUGUAAUUUUAAAAUUUUCUUAUUUUAUUGUUGAUGUCAACUAACAAAAUUUUUAUUCAAUUUUAUUUUAAAAAUAAAAGAAAAUGAGGGAAUUUAUAUAAUACAUGAUAUAAAAUCAUUAUUAAUUAAUAUAACAAAGUAAAAUGAUAUUUCAGAAAAUAAUUAUUUGACUUAUAAAAAAGUAAUGUAUUUUAAAAUAUUUUUAAAUUAAUGAAAAUAAAACCAAUUUAUAAAUAUUGAUUUUUUUUUUCUAUUUUCUUUCAAAUUAGUGAGUCAAAACCUACUUUUUUUCAUCAAAUUAUAUGAAAUUAUAAUUUGAUUUAUUUUUAAGUAGUUUUUUAAAAGUAAAUUGGUUUUCUUUAGGAAAAUAACUAUUGUAAAGUUAAAAGAAAAACAACAUUUUUCAUUGACAGAAAAUAAGAAAAUAAAAAUUCAACCUUUUCAUUAACACAAACUUGUCUUAAAAUAAUUAAUAAUUAGGGAAAAAAAAAAGGCGAGGUCACUAGUUAAUUCUUGUAAAAGCAUUUCUAAAGAAGUAAUAAAAGACUAGAGAUUAAAUACACUUUUAUUUUAACCACUUGCAAACAAGCCCUCAAUUAAUAAACAACAAAUAUGAUAAAAUAUCAUUUGAGAUCAUAUUUAUUUAACAUUAAAAUUUCAUGGCAUGCUUCCUAAAACUGUGUAAUUUGAUUGUAAUUCAUUUUUCCCAUGCGAUUUUAAGCCUCUUCUUUAUCUUUAUAAAAUUUUAUGAGCAAACAUAAAAUAUGAUAGUCACUUAGAAAGCCUUAAGGUUGUUUGAUUCUCAAAAAAUUUGAAUUAAAAGCAAGGGAAGAAAGUAGAAAAAAAAUAAAAGUAAAAGAAAAUAAAAAACUAGAUAUAGAGUCAAUUAAUUAUUUGUUAUGUACUAUUUUAAACCCAUUUAAUUUAUUUUAACGUUUUUAUAUAAAGAUUGAAUAAAAAUAUAUAAGUUUCUAUCUAAUUUUAUUUUUAUUUAUUUAUUUUUAUAUUUUUCUUAAUAAAAUGGAAUAUGAGAAAAACAUUUUUUUUCCUAAAAAUGAAAGACUAAGCAAAUGAAGUCAAAUUUAGCCGAAACUUGAAUUUGAUAAAUCUAGAAACCUUAAAAAUCAACUUCUAAAUCAAAUGAUCAUAAAAAAACCAUCAAUUAAGCCUUAAUCUAAAAUGGUUCCAAAUUUGCCUAAAAAAAACUUAUUAAUUAAGUUCCAAAAAUUAUGAAACUCUCAAGAUCUAAUAUAUAACAAAAACCGUUUCAACAUACCAUGUUGAAAAUCUAUUAAUGUUUUCUAAAUUAUUUUCCUAUAAAAAUGAAUUUGGAAUUACAUGACAUUAGACUCUACAUUCUUGCAACCCAUGCUCAACAUCAUUUUCUUCUUCAAAGGGUGGUCCAGAUUCCUUUCCAUCUUAUCUUUGUGUGGUGGACAUUCAAGGGUCUCUUUUCAACAUUUUGCAACUCAGGUGGGUGAUUUUGUCAAUGUCAUACUGUUCAAAGUCUCUUAAUGUUGUAAAGUAUUGAAGGGGAAGGCCUUUCCAACAUGUUAUGCAUCCAGAAAACAUACAAUCAAUAAUUUUAUUAUUGGUCCAGAAGCCUGUUGUUGAGUUUAUCGUGGAGAUUAUAGGUCCUGCAAAUUAAAUAUGUAUAAGGUUGAUGUAUAUUUUCUUAUUUAUUUGUAAGGCAGGGAUCAAUUGCAACCCAUAAGAUAUGGGUGGGUAGAAAAUGAGUUCAUCUGUACAUUUGGCAUUAGUUGAUAGGCCAUCUUCUUCAUCUACCUCUUUCUUCUAUCCAAGGCCCAGGCUCUUCCUCGUUGCUUUGCAUCUGCUUUCUCUCAUUCUUCUCUGAUCCACUACUCGCUUCCCUUACAAACCAACAGACAUGGCCGGGGCUGUAGCAGGAGGGGGAGCACUUCUCUCGGCUUCUCUCCAAGUUAUAUUUGAUCGGAUGGCUUCUCGCGACGUCCUCACCUUCCUCCGGGGACAGAAACUCAGUGCUACGCUCCUAAGGAAGUUGCAGAUGAAAUUGCUGGAAGUUCAGGCAGUGCUGAAUGAUGCCGAGGCCAAGCAAAUCACGAAUUUAGCUGUUAAAGAUUGGGUCGAUGAGCUAAAAGAUGCUGUGUAUGAUGCGGAGGACCUGGUGGAUGAUAUCACCACUGAAGCUUUACGGCGCAAGAUGGAGUCUGAUUCUCAAACUCAGGUACGGAACAUCAUCUUUGGUGAGGGGAUCGAAUCCAGGGUAGAGGAGAUCACUGACACACUAGAAUAUCUUUCACAAAAAAAAGAUGUUCUCGGGUUGAAAAAAGGCGUUGGAGAAAAUUUGUCAAAAAGAUGGCCGACGACUUCCUUGGUAGAUGAGUCUGGGGUGUACGGUAGGGAUGUUAACAGGGAGGAGAUAGUUAAAUUUUUGUUGUCCCAUAAUACAAGUGGGAAUAAGAUAAGUGUGAUCGCCCUGGUGGGUAUGGGCGGUAUUGGAAAGACCACACUUGCUAAGCUGGUGUAUAAUGAUAGGAGAGUGGUGGAAUUUUUUGACCUUAAAGCAUGGGUUUGUGUUUCAAAUGAAUUUGAUCUUGUCAGGAUAACGAAAACCAUUCUUAAGGCAAUUGAUUCUGGGACUC